AAGGGUAUGGCUGUUCGCCAUUUAAAGUGGUACGCGAGCUGGGUUUAGAACGUCGUGAGACAGUUCGGUCCCUAUCUGCCGUGGGCGUUUGAGAAUUGAGGAAAGCUGCUUCUAGUACGAGAGGACCGAAGUGGACGAACCUCUGGUGUUCCGGUUGUCACGCCAGUGGCAUUGCCGGGUAGCUACGUUCGGACGGGAUAAGCGCUGAAAGCAUCUAAGCGCGAAGCCUCUUCCAAGAUUAAUUCUCACUGAUUCUUUAAGAAUCCUGAAGGGCCCUUGAAGACUACAAGGUUGAUAGGCACGGUGUGGAAGCGCAGUAAUGCGUGAAGCUAACGUGUACUAAUUGCCCGUGAGGCUUGACCAUAUAACACCCAAAAGGGUU
rnacentral:rRNA from 1 species